rnacentral:rRNA from 1 species
GACGAACGCUGGCGGCGUGCCUAGCACAUGCAAGUCGAACGGUUCUCGAGGUUCGACAUUCGAGGUUCGAAGUUCGAGUGAACGCAAGCCUUUGGGGUCCUUGACCCGAAAGGAAUGCUUGAAUCGAACCACGAAUUUCGAACGUCGAACUUCGAGGAUAGUGGCGGACGGGUGAGUAACGCGUGGAUAACCUGCCUGGUAGACCGGGAUAACAGCUGGAAACGGCUGCUAAUACCGGAUACGCUCGGGAGUUCGCAUGAACACUCGAGGAAAGCUUUCGUGCUAUCAGAUGGGUCCGCGUCCCAUUAGCUAGUUGGUGGUGUAAAGGACCACCAAGGCGACGAUGGGUAGCCGGCCUGAGAGGGCGACCGGCCACACUGGGACUGAGACACGGCCCAGACUCCUACGGGAGGCAGCAGUGGGGAAUCUUCCGCAAUGGGCGAAAGCCUGACGGAGCAACGCCGCGUGAGGGAAGAAGGCCUUCGGGUUGUAAACCUCUGUUUUUAGGGACGAAGAGAUGACGGUACCUAAAGAGUAAGCUCCGGCUAACUACGUGCCAGCAGCCGCGGUAAUACGUAGGGAGCGAGCGUUGUCCGGAAUUACUGGGCGUAAAGGGCGCGUAGGUGGUCCAUUAAGUUACUGGUGAAAGUUCGGGGCUUAACCCCGUGAUUGCCUGUAAUACUGGUGGACUUGAGUGCAGGAGAGGGGAGUGGAAUUCCCAGUGUAGCGGUGAAAUGCGUAGAUAUUGGGAGGAACACCAGUGGCGAAGGCGGCUCUCUGGACUGUAACUGACACUGAGGCGCGAAAGCGUGGGGAGCAAACAGGAUUAGAUACCCUGGUAGUCCACGCCGUAAACGAUGAGUGCUAGGUGUUGCGGGUAUCGACCCCUGCAGUGCCGUAGUUAACACAAUAAGCACUCCGCCUGGGGAGUA